GAACAUGGCAAUAAUAUGGCUGUGUAGUGUAAUAAUAUAGCUGUGUAUUGUAAUAUAGCUGUGUAGUGUAGCCCAGGGGGGAGGGCUACAUACGUGUACUGUACCUACAUCCACUGCUACCUACCCCUCAAGGAAGGUUCCUUGAUGUUGGUGAGGGGCUCUUGAUUUAGGGAAUUGGAUCUGUGCUCCAGUUCCCCGAAUUAAGCCUGAAUGCCUUCCACAUCCCCCCCCAGGCGCUGUAUAAUCCUCCGGGUUUAGCGCUUCCCCCUUGAUUAUAAUAAUAAUAAUACUGCUACCUACACUGACUUCCUACAAAUAAAUACUACUCACCUCUUGCCCUACAUUAAGACUACAAAUAUUUUAAGGGUAGUAAUGAAUGUACUGUAGCAGUAAAUGACAGAUUAAAGAGGUGUGUGCAAUGUGGACUAGGGUGCAAGCUUUUGUAGAGAAAUGCCACCCUGACCAAGCUGAAACAAGACAUAUCUGCAACAUGUUCAGUGACAAAACCCUGUCCCACUUCAGGGAAAUCUUAGAGAGACACCAGAAACAGACCUCUAUGGACAGAUUUGUUGUGAGACAGGGGUCCAGUGACUCUCAAGCUGGUCCUAGUGGCAUUAAAAGACAACGAAGGGAAGUAACCCCAGAGAAGGCUUUGCUACCUGAAGUCUUUAUGGAGGGGGAUUCCCCUUCCAAACACUAACUCCUCUCUCUUUCCUCUUCCCUAUCUUCCAGAAGCCAGCAUUAGCCUUCAAUAAAGACAUUUCGGUCAUCAGCUGACCUUCUGAAAUGGAUUACGGCCAAUAACCGAGGGUCCACUGCAUUUCAGAUACCCUCAAGUGUUAAGAACUCUGGAAGUAAAGCUGGAAGCAUUUGUCAAAGCAGUCACCACAUUUACCUGCACUUAGAAGCAAAUUGUAUGCACAAAAGAAGGACUGCCUUCAGCAAGCACAUACAACUGGGAGAGCAAAAGGAGUGAAAUAUGAAAGAUGAAGAGGCAUAUGAGGAAAAUAUAAAAAAAUUGUUAAAAUAUUUUAUGAAUAGUUUAACAACUGGAAAUGAGAAGGUAGAGAAAAUGGAGCAGAUUGUGACUAGUGUUGCUGUGCGAGUACUGUACUGCAUAUCUAAAGAAAAAAAGCCAUUAAUGGGGGAAAGAGAAUUCCCCCUUCAUCUUAUCUUCCCUAUGGCAGAUGUAAUGGAUAAAUAGGGCCUACUGGUCACUACUUAACAUUCUCUGGCAAUCACUAAUAAACAUUUUAAAAAGCUGGCUCUGUUUAUUAAUAUUCAUCUUUUUUUAUAGUACAGAAAAAGGUAAUCUGAAAGCCAAUAAUAUAGCUUCAAACAUUUGCAUUCAUGAACAUGUAAUUCUAAUGAAUUCCGAGCAAUUUAAUACAGAACACAACAUGGAAUCACAAGACAGUUACCAUAACAGGCAGGUAUCCUGCUAAUUUGUCUAUGACAGAAGAAGGGUCUUCAAGAUAAGUAGUAAAAUCAGUAUAUUUGUCACCUUAUGUUUAAAGAACUGUACAUAAAUUUGUUUGCAAUCUACUUAUUUGGAAGUGAGAUUAUAUACAAAAAUAAUACAUCUCAAACCAGAAAGACAGCAAGAACAAUCACUAAUUCAUUACCCAUAAAUAUACGAGUUAAUAAAAAAAAAAGGGAAUGUUGCCAG